rnacentral:lncRNA from 1 species
CCGCACCAGGAAUCAGAUCAGCGCGUGUGUCAGCAAUCCGCGGGAGAACCGCUAGAGGAACCAGAUCUGGCUGGUCCAAGCUAUGUGUGUCGUAGUGGGAACCUGCAACACACGUCCAUGGAGGGUGGCGUAGCCAUGUCAGGCAGCUCCCUUGUCGACUGGACUAGGAAAAAACGGAUAGAUCUCCUAGUAGGGGAGGUUUCCCUUACAUGUCAACGGCGUCCUCUAGCAACAUCUUCCAUGGUCGGUUAGCCGGAGACAACGCAGCCUUCUACCGCGAUGAGGGGUGGGGAAUAGCUGCUCCUGACGGCGGCUGGUUUCGAGAAGCACCGUGGCAAGGAGUGAGGGAGG